GUGCUUACUUAGGCAGCACAUAUACUAAAAUUGGAAUGAUACAGAGAUUAGCAUGGCCCCUGCACAAGAAUGAUACACAAAUUUAUGAAGCGUUCCAUAUUUUU